CCAAAGGUCUCCCCUCCUGACAUGACCACAGAGCUGCUGCUGGGCUUGGAUCUUCCUGGGAUGCCACCAGGAGGGAAAGCUCCUCUGCUGGCUGGCCCACGGUGACGUCAUGAUGCUGUCAGUCUGCCUGUCCAUGACACCAGCAGAUAUCUGUACAGCCGCCAGGAUGGCAUAGCAGCCACCAAGCGGGUCCCUUGGCACACAAGGCCCAGGGAGACCCACAGGGGACACAAACAAGUGCACUCUCCUGCCAGAGCCUAGAAUCUCCAGGCCUCUGACUUGGAUAUGGAUGGAUGCGGGACGCUUCCACUCUGAAUGCCGAACACUCCCCUGCUCUGCAGUCAUUUCUUAGGAGCAUGGUUAAAACACUCAGGCAUUUUCUAGAGAAGAAUACAAACCAACCUGAGAGGAUUUUGAGUGGAGUGCAUGUUGAGAUGUUUGAGGAAAGUGAAUGUCUGCAAACUCAUGUCCUUGGCAUGAUCCCUUAUAUGGGUUGCAGAAAAUCGGAUCAGAUCACCUGGAGGGAUCAUGGUUCAGUGAGCCUUCUUGUUGUUCUUCUUUUCUUUUAUUUUUUCUGGUACCACACAUCGUAUCCAGGGUUAGCUGUCCACUGAGUGUGGGGUGUUACUCUGCCUCUUCUUGAAGGAGAAAGGAUGCUCCCAAUUAUUCCAGGGCGUGAAAUCACCGGGAUUUAGUACCUUUUAGUACCUUUCUGAGGCAUGAUUUCUGGCUCUAUGUCAAAUUAGGUGGCCUAACACUAGUUGUUCAGCAGGGAAGUCAAAUUCA
rnacentral:lncRNA from 1 species